UCGGCCGACAAAUGCUUGCACAAGGUAUAUCCAAACUGGACAAACUAUGAAGUUAUAUUUUGAAUUGUUGGAGAAGAUUCCUAGCAUGUGAGAAUUGUGUGGAUUGUCAAAUUACUUCACCAUGUUGACUAUCAAUUAUUCAAUCACUUCGGUGCUCUGUUUGCUCAAAAGCUCAGCUCUAAACCUCUAGAUAAUGCGAUGAUCAAAACAGUUCGUUUAGUUUCCACCAACUACUUUCAUGUAAAAUAACAUUAUCAUUUAGCCAAUAAAGAUAUAUUUUCAGCUAUUAUUUAUACAAAAUAAAAUCUCUCUUCU
rnacentral:misc_RNA from 1 species